GACGAACGCUGGCGGCGUGCUUAACACAUGCAAGUCGAACGGAAAGGCCCUGCUUUUGUGGGGUGCUCGAGUGGCGAACGGGUGAGUAACACGUGAGUAACCUGCCCUUGACUUUGGGAUAACUUCAGGAAACUGGGGCUAAUACCGGAUAGGAGCUCCUGCUGCAUGGUGGGGGUUGGAAAGUUUCGGCGGUUGGGGAUGGACUCGCGGCUUAUCAGCUUGUUGGUGGGGUAGUGGCUUACCAAGGCUUUGACGGGUAGCCGGCCUGAGAGGGUGACCGGCCCCAUUGGGACUGAGAUACGGCCCAGCCUCCUACGGGAGGCAGCAGUGGGGAAUAUUGCACAAUGGGCGGAAGCCUGAUGCAGCAACGCCGCGUGCGGGAUGACGGCCUUCGGGUUGUAAACCGCUUUCGCCUGUGACGAAGCGUGAGUGGCGGUAAUGGGUAAAGAAGCACCGGCUAACUACGUG
rnacentral:rRNA from 1 species